GAUGAACGCUGGCGGCGUGCCUAAUACAUGCAAGUCGAGCGAACAGAUAAGGAGCUUGCUCCUUUGACGUUAGCGGCGGACGGGUGAGUAACACGUGGGUAACCUACCUAUAAGACUGGAAUAACUCCGGGAAACCGGGGCUAAUGCCGGAUAACAUUUAGAACCGCAUGGUUCUAAAGUGAAAGAUGGUUUUGCUAUCACUUAUAGAUGGACCCGCGCCGUAUUAGCUAGUUGGUAAGGUAACGGCUUACCAAGGCAACGAUACGUAGCCGACCUGAGAGGGUGAUCGGCCACACUGGAACUGAGACACGGUCCAGACUCCUACGGGAGGCAGCAGUAGGGAAUCUUCCGCAAUGGGCGAAAGCCUGACGGAGCAACGCCGCGUGAGUGAUGAAGGUCUUCUGAUCGUAAAACUCUGUUAUUAGGGAAGAACAAAUGUGUAAGUAACUGUGCACGUCUUGACGGUACCUAAUCAGAAAGCCACGGCUAACUACGUG
rnacentral:rRNA from 1 species